GCCAGCAGCCAUAUCACCCUGCAACUCACAACUGGCAACCCACUGAAGCAAAGCAGGUGUGAGCCUGGUCACUACCUGGAUGGGAGACCUCCUGGGAAAAACUAAGGUUGCUGCUAGAA
ensembl:rRNA 5S_rRNA 5S ribosomal RNA